rnacentral:rRNA from 1 species
UACGUAGGGUGCGAGCGUUGUCCGGAAUUAUUGGGCGUAAAGAGCUUGUAGGCGGUCUAUCGCGUCUGCUGUGAAAAUCCGGGGCUCAACCCCGGACUUGCAGUGGGUACGGGCAGACUAGAGUGUGGUAGGGGAGACUGGAAUUCCUGGUGUAGCGGUGAAAUGCGCAGAUAUCAGGAGGAACACCGAUGGCGAAGGCAGGUCUCUGGGCCACUACUGACGUGAGAAGCGAAAGCAUGGGGAGCGAACAGG